GAGACAGCAGCAGCCGCGGGAAUACGUAGGUGGCAAGCGUUGUCCGGAAUUAUUGGGCGUAAAGGGCUCACAGGCGGUUUCUUAAGUCUGAUGUGAAGGCCCCCGGCUCAACCGGGGAGGGUCAUUGGAAACUGGGAAACUUGAGUGCAGAAGAGGAGAGUGGAAUUCCACGUGUAGCGGUGAAAUGCGUAGAGAUGUGGAGGAACACCAGUGGCGAAGGCGACUCUCUGGUCUGUAACUGACGCUGAGGAGCGAAAGCGUGGGGAGCGAACAGGAUUAGAUACCCCCGUAGUCCCUGUCUCUUUUAC
rnacentral:rRNA from 1 species